ACGCUCGACACCUACGGAGGCAGCAGUUGGGAAUAUUGGACAAUGGAGGAAACUCUGAUCCAGUGACGCCGCGUGAAGGAAGAAGGUCUUCGGAUUGUAAACUUAUUUUGUCAGGGAAGAAAAAAUGACUGUACCUGAAGAAAAAGCACCGGCUAACUACGUGCCGGCAGCCGCGGUAAUCUGAGCGGGCUGGCAAGGC
rnacentral:rRNA from 1 species